rnacentral:lncRNA from 1 species
GGGAAUUUGGACACCUUUAAAAUGGGGUCUUCGGGAGUGGCCAGUUCACGAGGAGCUUGAGGUCGGUCCCCUUCAUGAAGAUCCACUGUGGGUGCCACCCCUUAUUGCUGGAAGGAGUCUUGAUGAGGAUGGCUCGGUUGGGUUGGCGGUUUAUGUGACGCCCCUAAAAUAGUUAUAUAUCACCCAUCUUGGGUCGCCAAAUGCAUGGUACAAAAUUUAAAUACAAACUUCCUUAUACAAUACGACAAAAACGUAAUUGAGAAUUUUUACACGAAUAUUGUCUAGUAGACAGUAUUCAAACUCAAAUGGAGUCCUCAUUACAAUUAUUAUCACACUAUUUUAUAAAAUAGUGACGACUAAUACAACCACCAUCUCAGACCAUCACUCCGUUCCCCGACUAGUCCCAACUACGUUCUCAUUUCCUGAAGAGAGAAAUGAAAGCAAAAGGGUGAGCUCAACUAGCCCAGUAAGAAAUAUUAUGACUAAGAUAAUGCAGAAUAAAUUAUUGUUAGCCUUCAACAGCGUUAAACUAAUAAAAUAUAAUAAACAUCAAGUUUAACUGCAGCGGAACAAGCAAUUCAUUAGAAGAGUCAAGUAGAACAUGAUAUCUACUAUCUUCUAUGAUUUAAAAAGUUUAUCAUCAAUUUUAUUGUUGAGACUCAGCUUAAUAAAUAAUCCACAUCAUCGAAUCAUCCCUGCACUACGGCUAAUGAUAUUCAUUAGUAUCACAUCCACGAAUUAUCCAUGCACUACGGGCCAAGGAUAUUCGUGUAAUCAUCAAUGGUCAUGAUCAUACCAACAACUUUCCAUCAAUGCACUACGGGCGAAUGAGGACUUUUACCACAUCAUUUGUAACAUUACGGGUCAUGAUUAUACCGAAUAAUCCUUGGUCAUAAUCAUAUCAAUCAAUAGUCCAUCUAUGCACGUAAACCAAAGAUGACUUUCAUCACAAUAUAAACAUGAGAAUGAUGACAAUGAUAUAAGAAUUUAAUUAAAAGAAAACAAAGGAUAAAUUUUUAAAGAUUUAUAAUUUAAUUUAUCUAGAAUUCAAUAAUGUUCAAAUUGUCAACACGAUACUGUUUUGUGGAGUAAAAUUCAAGAAUAAUAUUGUAUCAAAAAUGAUUUGAACAGCAAAGAAAUUAAUUUUUAUCAUGAAUAGUUCCCCGGGUGAAUACGACCCGAGUGAAUAGUAUCCCAUGAAUAGUACCUCGUGAAUAGUACCCGUGAAUAGUACUUUGUGAAUAAUAUCUCGUGAAUAGUAUUCCGGCAUGAAAAGGUCAAUAAUUAUCAAGAAUGCUCAGAAUAAUAUUUCCAUGAAAAGAUACUGGAUGAAGCGCAAAUAUCAAGGAUAUUCUACUAAUUUCACGGAGUAUAGAAGAAAUACUUUAACAGAAUGAGUGUAGAGUUUGGAAUACGAAACGAAAUAAUAUUAUUCACAUACUACAGAGUAUGGAAGAAAAUAUUAUUUCUUACUAAUACUGAACAAAAAUAAUAUCCCUUACCUUAGAAGAAGACUGGAUACUAGAAUAGUGAAGUAGCAGAAUACUCUCAUUCUUUCUCUCUAUAGUUUCUCUCUCUAUAAUUUCUCUUGUGAGUCUUAGUGAAUUAGUGAGAAUGAAAGAAGAAUGAGCUUCUAUUUAUAGAAAAAUAUAGUUUCGAUAAUUGCACGUUUUGGGGCUCGAAUUAUUACAGUAUAGUACAUUCAUCUUUUCCUCCAUUUUUAAUUUAGUCCUACAAGUAUUAUCAAACUUGCACCACCUCCCCUAAUAAUACAUGCAUGUAAAUCAAUAGUUCUAUUUAUGUGAAUAAAUAGUUAUAUGCAUGUGAACUAAUAGCAAUUAAUUACUCAUUUAUUCGAUUAAUUACCCGAUUGGUCAAUUUAACCUCCAGAAAUCAAUUAUUAUCGAAAUAAAUGUCGAUUUCCACUAACACUAAUAAUCUCAACACAAUGGAAAUAUCAAUUUCAUCUUUAAUCAACACGAACUUAUUCAUCAUUAAUAUUAUAACUCACAGUAUUUAACAACCAGAUCAUUCUCAGGAAAGAGGGGGCUUUCUGAUAAGGAUUUCUCCCAAUUGGCACGCAAUUAGGUGACCAAACCUCUUUCCUCGACAGAACUUUCUAAACAUCGUUAAUAUUGCAAAUAAUAAUAUGAAUAACUUUGUCGAAUCAAUUCUUGAUUUAAAAAAUAUAAAAUAUUAUGCAGAUGAUACUGUGACAAUAAUUAAAUCAAUAAUAUGAGAGAUAUUAUGCAGCAAUUACUGUAGCAAUAAUUGAGUAUAAUUGACUAACUUCUCAUGUAAGCAUCAAUAAUCAAUACAGUGUGCUACUAUGUAACCACGUGUAUUACUGUAGUUUUACCACCGGGUAUUUCACCAGUUUAACGGUAAAACUUUGCCGUUAUUUUUAUAAAAAUAUAAUUCUGUCGUUUUCUAACUACGACAAUACUUCCGUUGUGGGGUCCACCAAUGAUUCGUCGUACGAAUAUUCCCUGUUAAAAUGAAUAUUCCCCGACCAAUCGAAUAUUUUAUAACAACUUGUUUACUUUGCAAAAUUUAUAAAUAUUACCCACAACUAUAACCUUGUAUCAAAUCCACACCAUAAUAUUCAAAAAUAUAUUUCGAGAAAAAUUAAUCUUUAUUCAUAAAAGUUGGGGUCUUACAGUUUAGUUGUCGAAGGCUAGGUUCUUUCGACCUACCGACGAUGAACAAAGCAAAAAAGAAGUCCAGACCAGGGGUGAUGACUACCUCCUGGUACAGGGCUAUGAAGUUGAUGAGGUGGAUGUACGAGUUCGGCACCAGUUGGGCGAACCCGAUCCCCACGAAGCAGAGGAAUGAGACAAUGAAUUCAUGGAAGGGGAAUCUAACCCCGUACUUCAAAGCCCAGAGGGGAACGGCGACCCAGUCGCCUUCGGGUCGCCAGAAUAUUCUUUCCUUCGAUUCGGGGACCCGAAGCUUGUAUUCCUUCGAAAUGUUAAACAGGGUGCGGAUGUCCGAGAUCUGAGAAGGAUUGAUGGUCGAUUUGGUGUUGAUGUGAGAAAAGUCACUUUCGAAAGCGUAGACGGUUCGGAGCUUGGAUUCGACACUGUCAGUAGUGGUGUCAGCAGGGGCGACCGGUAAAUCGACCGGUAUCAAAUUCGUGGCGGCGAUGGUGGUGGUGUUGACAGUUGGUGGGAUUUGCUCUGUGGUGGAGGUAGCUGAAGGUUGGAAUCUGCUAUUUGAAGUGAAAGUAUUGGAAAUGUGGUGAUUUAGAAAUAGAAAAACUUAAAUUGGAGAAGUUUAGUUGAUUGCUCGCCGGAAAUCGCCCUUUGCCGGAAGCUCUGAGAGAUAAAUUUGAAAAAGUAGAAGUUGGGUAAAGAUUGGGGAUUUUAUAAGGACGUGACACGAAUCCCAAGGGCGGCUAAUAAUGGCAGGUGGGGCCCGGUCCUGGGAAAACGUGUGUCAUUUCAAAAAACGAAGAAAAACCCGAUUGGUUUUCCCAGACGUCUCUUCAUGUCUCUUCAAGUCUCUAACUAUAAAUACAUUAUAACAAGAGACUGAGGGGCAAUGUUCAGGAGUAAUUUAUCGACCCUCAGGUGGGCUGAAGGCCUGGGUCAAGAAGGGGAUAUUGAGCCCAUUGGGCCGAAGCCAUCAAGGGGAUUGAAGGAGUUCGAGUUCGGAUAUCCAAGUCCUCUGGGCCGGAGUCCUGUUCUGAUUAAUGAUGUUCGGGGUCAGACAUCCGAGUCCAUUAGGCCGGAGCCAGGUCUGUUUUUGAGGGUUCGGUUGAAUUGGGCCCAUGCAGUGGGAUGACCCUUGUAUGAAGUUCGGAGUGAUAAGGGUUCUGAAUGGUUAAGGAUUCUAGUCCUAACCAUAUUUGAAUAACUAACUCCAAAGGUAGUAUUUGGAUCGUAUCCCACUUGCACUUUUUAAGGAGAUUUUGUUGGACCCAAACAAUGGUAAUUGCCUUGUUCAAGAGUCCUAAUCCGAUUUGGAAAUGGAAUUUAGGUGAUGAGAGUGUCUAUAAAUAUAUACAAGGCUGGACUUCAAUUAAUAGGUAAUACCCUUUUGAGCACUAAACACUAAAGCCUCUAUUGUUAAACAUUGUACCAGCAUGUACUCAUUCUCACACCGGAGCUAUCACCUGGCAGCACAAGCCGUCAAGCUUCUUGUGUGAUCUGUUACUGUGCAGGUUUAAGCGCGUGGAUUCGGUGAUUGGACGUGCCGGUGAAACUUGGCGUUAACACUAUAUUUCCUCUUGAAUUUCUGAAAAAGUUGUUCAAUGGUGGACUAUCUUGUUCAAGAAUUCAAGAGAACGUACAGUACCUUGAACCACUUAUUGGGAAUUGUUGAAUUUUCUGUAACUCUCCUUUUGUUUUUGAUUUAAGAGAAAUUGAAAGCAUUAGAAAGUUACAAAUUUUUGGACAUCUUAACUUUGUGAAGCUUAAAAAUAGUACCCUGACAUCUCCAGCAAGGUGAUUAUACCAUGGAUUAUAUUUAGUCCAUAACAUCAAUCCGUCUUUCAAUCAUUCUAACAGAUGGACUAUCACAAGGACUAUAAUAUUAAAAGAUUAUAUUAUAUUUAAUGAAUUAUAGUUUACUAAUCAUUCUUCCACACUCUCAUUUAAUAUAUUUAAAAUUAUAGUCAACCAAAUCUUAAUACUUAAUAUAGCCUCUUUAACUCAUCAAAAAAUCUCAUAAACUAUAUUUAAUAUUACUACUAGAGUGAAAUCUAAAUACUAGAGUAUAUUUAAUCUAAAAUUUAUGCUUUUACUCAUUUAAUCUAGAAUUUAUGCUUCUCCGCCUACCGGAGAUGUUCUAUUCAUGGAUGGAAUUGUUCCACUUUCUGUGUCAUGAUUCAUGAUAUAGUGGUGGGCCAUUUUCAUAUUCUCCAUACUGUUUAACAACCAUUUGAUUUCCUAAAACAACAAAUUAGACAAAUCUCAAAGUCCACAUACCUAACAUUUUCCUUCGUGGUCGAGUGAAAUUUAAAGUUGAAUUAUGGGGGCCAUGGCUCCAAUUAGUGAAGGUACAUGGUGGGGCCAGGUGUUUAUCAGAAGUGAAGGCCUCAAUUGUUGGGCCAUCUUCUAUUCUAUUUAAAGAGAAUUAAAAUUUUUACAUGUAAAUUUAAUAAUUCUAUGAUGUGACAGUAAAUAAGAGAAUGUUAACCUAUCAAUUAUAUAAGGUAUACUAUUCGAUGAAUAUAAUGACCACGCAUUAUUUAACAUCAAAAGAUAAAAUUUGAGAUAACUACCCAAAAAAAAUAUUCUAAUUAACGUCAAUAAUAAAAAGUACUAAUAUUUUGUUUCACAAAAUUUUUUUUAUUUAAAUUAUUUAAUGUCAAUUUGUGAUAUUUUGUAACUAUUCAAUUUAUGUUAUUUUUUAGCUAAUAUGGGUUGGUAUGAAUUCAAUAUAAUUAUAAAUAUUAUACAGAAUUUUAAAUUAUAAUUAAUUAUUUUGGAAUUUCAAAUACUAAUAUCAUACCUGUAUUUAGCACCCAAAAAAAGGGCAAAAAAUACAGAAGAUACCAGCUCAGCCCAGCCCAAAACAAAUAUCCAACGGUCCCAAAUUUCAUCAUUUUUGAAUUUUCUCUUUUUAUUCACCUUCUUGUUGGGAGGGUCCUAUCUCACAGCAUGUCAAAGACUCAAAACCAUAAUAGAAAGCCCAAUCAAUUUUCAAUUCACAUAUAUAAAGAAAGCCAACUUAUGUACCAUUUCACUUUUUCUUUAAAAAAAAAUAUUUUUAUAAAAUUUAAAUGAUUAAAUACAAAGAUUAAAAUAUAUUAAUAUAAAAAAAUAUAAAAAUUGCAUUUAAAGUUGAAGGGCAUUUAAAGAAAAUCCAAUAAACUUUACAAAAAUUGUUUACAUAGCGGCGGACCUGUCUCUUGCUUUAUAUCUAUAAUAGUAAUAAGAUAGAAUCGUAUUUAAAUUUGGGCGGAAGAACAUAAGAACUGUUUAGAUUCAUUCUAAUUGAUUUGGACGGACGGUUCCUUCUAAUUUUCAGAUCGUUGAAACAGAGAAAGAGGGAGAGGAUUUCGUUACGCCAAUUACUAGUAUUAGAUAUAUCAAUUAUAUUAUAUUAAGAUCUAUGAAAUAGUUAUUACCAAAAAAAAAAAUCUAUGAAAAAGCAACAGAUAGUAAAACUAACGAUCUGAUACAAACCAGUUGGAGUGAAAUGAAGACUGAUAAGAAACCAAAACCAGAAGCAGCACCACCAAGAACGUGGGUGGUCGGAAACGUCUCGCCGGAGUUGUGGGCCCCGCACCCAGAAGUUGAAGCUUAUUCCAUUGGUAACAAGGCUGGAACGCAUGAAAAAGAUUAAUAAAACAGGCACCAAGAAGAGGAAAAGCUGGAAAUUGAUCUUGGUGUUAUUGAGCUGAGACUUGUAGGUUGUGUACUGAGAGAGUGACAAUAAAAAAAGAAUAAUGGCGAAAAUGGCAAGCAGUUGAAGCGGUGGGCUGGAGAUUGUGGACAGAGUUUGGCUUGUCCAACUUUAUUUCCCUUCUGGACCCCUUCUCUUUGGAUACACCCAAUCCAUCUGCUCUUCUGAUCAUGAAAUUUAAUGCAUGAAUGAAGCUAGUUAUUUCAUUAUUAUAGAAGCCUUUAAUUGGAAAAUGGAAUAUAUGCUUUUGAGUAUGGAUUCUUCAUAACUAACUUUAGCUUUGAACUAAUG